rnacentral:rRNA from 1 species
UACGGAGGGGACUAGCGUUGUUCGGAAUUACUGGGCGUAAAGCGCACGUAGGCGGAUUUGUAAGUCAGGGGUGAAAUCCCGGGGCUCAACCUCGGAACUGCCUUUGAUACUGCAAAUCUCGAGUCCGGAAGAGGUGAGUGGAAUUCCUAGUGUAGAGGUGAAAUUCGUAGAUAUUCGCAAGAACACCAGUGGCGAAGGCGGCUCACUGGCCCGGUACUGACGCUGAGGUGCGAAAGCGGUGGGGA